rnacentral:rRNA from 1 species
GACGAACGCUGGCGGCGUGCCUAACACAUGCAAGUCGAACGGGGAAGUUAGCAAUAACUUUCUAGUGGCGAACGGGUGAGUAACGCGUAGACAACCAACCUUUUUGUGGGGGACAACACUUCGAAAGGAGUGCUAAUACCGCAUGAGCUCCAGAUGCCGCCUGGCGUUUGGAGGAAAGGAGCUUCACGGCUUCGCAAAAAGACGGGUCUGCGUCUGAUUAGCUAGUUGGAGGGGUAACGGCCCACCAAGGCGACGAUCAGUAGCCGGUCUGAGAGGAUGGACGGCCACACUGGGACUGAGACACGGCCCAGACUCCUACGGGAGGC